rnacentral:rRNA from 1 species
AUGCUCCUCCUCAGAUCCCACCACCUCCUCCUCCCCCACGCCGCCCGCCUCCUCGCCCGCCGCGCGCAGCCCCUUCCCCGCACCGCCGCCGCCGCCCGCCUCCGCCCGCUCCGGAUGUCGGCCUCCAACCACUCCGGCGCCGGCGCCAGCUCCCCCUCCGCCCCAUCGCCACCGCCGGCCCCCGCGGUGCCCAAGUCGAGGAUCCCUUUCUGCCCAGCUUGUGGAAGUCCGACGAAAUUGGCCGUACCAGACGGGGAUGAGAAGAUGAGGGCUGUCUGUUCUUCUUGUGGGAGAGUGCACUACGAAAACCCCAAAAUGGUUGUCGGUUGCCUUGUGGAGCACGAUAACAAGGUCCUCCUUUGCAGAAGAAAGAUUGAACCGGCUUAUGGCCUUUGGACUCUUCCUGCUGGUUAUUUGGAAGUCGGGGAGUCUGCAGCAGAAGGAGCCUCAAGGGAAACGUUGGAAGAAGCUUGUGCAGAUGUAGAGAUAGUUUCACCUUUUGCUCAGUUGGAUAUUCCGCUUAUUGGCCAAAGUUACAUUAUUUUCCGAGCAAGAAUGAAGACCCCCAGUUUCUCACCUGGAUCCGAGUCGCUAGAAUGUGCACUUUUUGCUCUGGAUGAUAUACCAUUCGAUUCUCUAGCAUUUUCUUCAAUCAUCGUCACUUUGAGAAUGUAUAUUGAAGAUGUCAAGGCUGGGAACAUCAAAUUCCAUUAUUGCACUAUAAACAAGAGGAUCGGGGCCGGCCCUUCAGAUCUCCGUAGCUUUGAUAUCGACAACCAUUUAGCCGUGUGA